rnacentral:miRNA from 1 species
CUGGGAAUCUUAUUAAACUGUGGAUUCUGUUUCAGUAGGUAUGGGACAGAAUCUGAGAUUUUGCAUUUCUAACAAGCUCCUAGGUGGUGCCACU